UUGAAAUAUCGGUUCCCGUACGAUCACCAAAGUUAAGCAACGUGGAGCCUGGUCAGUACUUAGAUGACUGACCGCUUGUGAAUAACAGGUGUCGUAA